rnacentral:rRNA from 1 species
CGCUGGCGGCGUGCCUAAUACAUGCAAGUCGAACGGUCUUUCUAUGGAAGCUUGCUUCCACUGAGAAGAUAGUGGCGAACGGGUGAGUAACACGUGGGUAACCUGCCCAUAAGAGGGGGAUAACAUCCGGAAACGGGUGCUAAUACCGCAUAGUUUUCUUGAUCGCAUGAUUGAGAAAGGAAAGACGGCCUUUGUGCUGUCGCUUAUGGAUGGACCCGCGGCGUAUUAGUUAGUUGGUGAGGUAAUGGCUCACCAAGACGAUGAUACGUAGCCGACCUGAGAGGGUGAUCGGCCACAUUGGGACUGAGACACGGCCCAAACUCCUACGGGAGGCAGCAGUAGGGAAUCUUCCGCAAUGGACGAAAGUCUGACGGAGCAACGCCGCGUGAGUGAAGAAGGUUUUCGGGAAUCGUAAAACUCUGUUGUCAGAGAAGAACAAGUUGGAGAGUAACUGCUCCAGCCUUGACGGUAUCUGACCAGAAAGCCACGGCUAACUACGUGCCAGCAGCUGC